rnacentral:rRNA from 2 species
ACAGAUUUCUUCGGGAUGAAGUUGCUUAUGACUGAGUGGCGGACGGGUGAGUAACGCGUGGGUAACCUGCCUCACACUGGGGGAUAACAGUUAGAAAUAGCUGCUAAUACCGCAUAAGCGCACGGUUCCGCAUGGAACAGUGUGAAAAACUCCGGUGGUGUGAGAUGGACCCGCGUCUGAUUAGCCAGUUGGCGGGGUAACGGCCCACCAAAGCGACGAUCAGUAGCCGGCCUGAGAGGAAGGUCCCCACAUUGGAACUGAGACACGGUCCAAACUCC